GAUGAAGAACGUAGCGAAAUGCGAUAAGUAAUGUGAAUUGCAGAAUUCAGUGAAUCAUCGAAUCUUUGAACGCACCUUGCGCCCUUUGGCCAUUCCGAAGGGCAUGCCUGUUUGAGUAUCAUGAACACCUCAACUCUUCAUGGUUUUCCAUGAUGAGCUUGGACUUUGGGGGUCUUGCUGGCCUGUGGGUCGGCUCCUCUCAAAUGAAUCAGCUUGCCGGUUUUUGGUGGGCAUCACAGGUGUGAUAACUAUCUACGCUUGUGGUUUUCCACCAGGGUAACCUUCAGCAGUGGAGGUUCACUGGAGCUUACAAAUGUCUCUCCUCUGUGAGGACAGCCCUUUGAAUGUUUGAUCACAAAUCAGGUAGGACUACCCGCUGAACUUAAGCAUAUCAAUAAGCGGAGGA
rnacentral:misc_RNA from 1 species